rnacentral:misc_RNA from 1 species
UAGCAGCCCCUCUUGCAGUGG